rnacentral:misc_RNA from 1 species
GAACGCACAUUGCGCCCGCCAGUAUUCUGGCGGGCAUGCCUGUUCGAGCGUCAUUUCAACCCUCAAGCCCCCGGGCUUGGUGUUGGGGAUCGGCGUGCCCUCGCGGCGCGCCGUCCCCUAAAUCUAGUGGCGGUCUCGCUGUAGCUUCCUCUGCGUAGUAGCAACACUCGCACUGGAACGCAGCGCGGCCACGCCGUUAAACCCCCCACUUCUGAAAGUUUGACCUCGGAUCAGGUAGGAAUACCCGCUGAACUUA